UCUUAUGGAUGAGCAAAAAAGUCGUUUCUUGCAAUAGAAACUACUCCUGAUGUAGAUGCUAUGAA
rnacentral:pre_miRNA from 1 species